rnacentral:snoRNA from 1 species
AAGACUAUACUUUCAGGGAUCAUUUCUAUAGUUUGUAAAUGUUUCUUUUGUGAAUUCUUCAUUGACACAAUUAUUCAACCCUUAAAGACUACCACUCUGAAGAACAGAGGU